rnacentral:misc_RNA from 1 species
GUAGGUGAACCUGCGGAAGGAUCAUUAACACGUUAUCCACGUUAUUCAUCAACCACGCGAACUUAUCAGUUUUUGGGGUUUUUAAGAGGGAGGAUGACUUCUUUUUCUCCUAGAGAAAAAAGUGAACUUCCUUCUUUCCCACUAACUGUUGUGUUUUGUCAUUUUUUGACAAACCUUAAUCACCCCUUUUUAUAAUUCUUCUUUUUCUUUUGCAAAAAAGAGAAACCAAUUAUAAAUGUGAUUUUUUCUUUUUCUACUCAAAGGAUGCUUUCUAAUGAGAGCUAAUCUUUUAAUAACUAACUCAAAACAACUCUUAGCAACGGAUAUCUUGGUUCCC